rnacentral:sRNA from 1 species
AGACUGUCAAGGUCAUUAUAGGCUUCGAAAGUUGCCAUAGACCAUGACAGUAUUACCAACAGGAAACGCAUGGCAUAGACUAUUGUCAUACCGAACUCCUUGGUGAUUAU